UUGCUCUUCAACGAGGAAUUCCUAGUAAGCGCAUGUCAUCAGCAUGCGUUGAUUACGUCCCUGCCCUUUGUACACACCGCCCGUCGCUACUACCGAUUGAAUGGCUAAGUGAGGCUUUCGGACUGGCCUAGGAAGAGUGGCAACACUCAUCUCGGGCCGGAAAGUUAUCCAAACUUGGUCAUUUAGAGGAAGUAAAAGUCGUAACAAGGUUUCCGUUGGUGAACCAGCGGAAGGAUCAUUACAGAGUUCAUGCCCUUACGGGUAGAUCUCCCACCCUUGAAUAACAUACAUUGUUGCUUUGGCGGACGCUUCGGCAGCCGCCAGAGGACCCUAAACUCUUGUUUACAGUGUCGUCUGAGUACUAUAUAAUAGUUAAAACUUUCAACAACGGAUCUCUUGGUUCUGGCAUCGAUGAAGAACGCAGCGAAAUGCGAUAAGUAAUGUGAAUUGCAGAAUUCAGUGAAUCAUCGAAUCUUUGAACGCACAUUGCGCCCCUUGGUAUUCCGGGGGGCAUGCCUGUUCGAGCGUCAUUAUAACCCCUCAAGCUCAGCUUGGUGUUGGGGCCUGCCAACUGGCAGCCCUUAAAAUCAGUGGCGGCGCCAUCUGGCUCUAAGCGUAGUAAUUUCUCUCGCUAUAGGGUCCCGGUGGAUGCUGGCCAGCAACCCCCAACUUUCUAUGGUUGACCUCGGAUCAGGUAGGGAUACCCGCUGAACUUAAGCAUAUCAAUAAGCGGAGGA
rnacentral:rRNA from 1 species